UUUUUGUAGUUGUGGAAGAGAAUUUGUUCAGAGACAGCUACAGAGAUCAACCUUUUUCUUGACAAUUGGAAAUACCUUCUUGCCGGAAUAGUUUUUCAGUAUAUUCAUGGUUUAGCUGGCCGAGGAGUUCAUUAUUUACAUCGGCCAGGGCGAACACUUCAGGAUCUUGGUUUCUUUCUUCUUCCCGAGCUUGGCCAAGAUAAAGGCUAUAUCAGUGAGACAUUGUUCAGCUGUGUCUUUUUAUCAUUUGUAUUG